GAUGAACGCUAGCGGCAGGCUUAAUACAUGCAAGUCGAGGGGCAGCACGGGUAGCAAUAUCUGGUGGCGACCGGCGCACGGGUGCGUAACACGUAUGCAAUCUACCUAUAACAGGGGGAUAGCCCCGAGAAAUCGGGAUUAAUACCCCAUAACAUUACGAUAUAGCAUUAUAUUGUGAUUAAAGCUGAGGCGGUUAUAGAUGAGCAUGCGUACCAUUAGCUAGUUGGAGAGGUCACGGCUCACCAAGGCGACGAUGGUUAUGGGUUCUGAGAGGAUGAUCCCCCACACUGGUACUGAGACACGGACCAGACUCCUACGGGAGGCAGCAGUAAGGAAUAUUGGGCAAUGGGCGAGAGCCUGACCCAGCCAUGCCGCGUGCAGGAUGACGGCCUUAUGGGUUGUAAACUGCUUUUGUACGGGAAUAAAUCAGAUUACGUGUAAUUUGUUGAAGGUACCGUAAGAAUAAGCAUCGGCUAACUCCGUGCCAGCAGCCGCGGUAAUACGGAGGAUGCAAGCGUUAUCCGGAUCCAUUGGGUUUAAAGGGUGCGCAGGCGGACCAAUAAGUCAGUGGUAAAAUUCUACGGCUCAACUGUAGAACUGCCAUUGAUACUGUUGGACUAGAGUAUAUUUGGAGUGGGCGGAAUGUGUCAUAUAGCGGUGAAAUGCAUAGAUAUGACACAGAACACCGAUCGCGAAGGCAGCUCACUAAGAUACAACUGACGCUCAUGCACGAAAGCGUGGGGAUCAAACAGGAUUAGAUACCCUGGUAGUCCACGCCGUAAACGAUGAUUACUCGAUGUUGGCGAUACACAGUCAGCGUCUGAACGAAAGUAUUAAGUAAUCCACCUGGGGAGUACGUUCGCAAGGAUG
rnacentral:rRNA from 1 species